GAUGAACGCUGGCGGCGUGCUUAACACAUGCAAGUCGAACGGAAAGACGCUGCUUUUGUGGGGUUCUCGAGUGGCGCGCGGGUGAGAAACACAUGAGUAUCCUGCCCUUGACUUUGGGAUAACUUCACGAGACUGGGGCUAAUACCGGAUAUGAGCUCCUGCUGCAUGGUGGUCGUUGGAAAUUUUCGGCGGUUGGGGAUGGACUCGCGGCUUAUCAGCUAGUUGGUCGAGUAGUGGCUUACCAAGGGAUUGACGGAUAGCCCGCCUGAGAGCGUGACCGGCCACAUGGGGACUACGAGACGCAGCAGACGCGAAUGGGAGGCAGUAGUGGGGAGUAUGGCACAGCGACGGGAAGUGUGAGGCAGAAAUGUCCCGUGCGUAAAGCCGGCUUACGGGUGGUAAACCGCUGUCGCCUGUGACGAAGCGGUAGUGACGGUAAUGGGUAAAGAAGCACCGGCUAACUACGUG
rnacentral:rRNA from 1 species